rnacentral:rRNA from 1 species
AUUGAACGCUGGCGGCAUGCCUUACACAUGCAAAUCGAACGGUAACGGGCCUUCGGGUGCCGACGAGUGGCGAACGGGUGAGUAAUACAUCGGAACGUGCCCGAUCGUUGGGGAUAACGAGGCGAAAGCUUUCCUAAUCCCGCAUACGAUCUACGCAUGAAAGCCGGGGAGCGCAAGGCCUUGCGCGGACGGAGCGGCCGGUGGCCGAUGAGGUAGGUGGUGGGAUAAAAGCUUACCAAGCCGACGAACUGUAGCUGGACCGCGAGGAUGAUCAGCCACACUGGGACGGAGACACGGCCCAGACGCCUACGGGAGGCAGCAGGGGGGAAUUGUGGAGAAUGGGCGCAAGCCUGAUCCAGCCAGGCCGCGUGCAGGAUGAAGGCCGUCGGGUUGUAAACGGAUUUUGUACGGAACGAAAAGCCUUCUUUUAAUACAGGAGGGUCAUGACGGUACCGUAAGAAUAAGCGCCGGCUAACUACGUGC